GAUGAACGCUGGCGGCGUGCCUAACACAUGCAAGUCGAACGGAGAUUACGGACGGAAGUUUUCGGAUGGAAGCCUGUAAUUCUUAGUGGCGGACGGGUGUGUAACGCGUGGGCAACCUGCCCUAUACAGGGGGAUAACAGCUGGAAACGGCUGGUAAGACCGCAUAAGUCGGUUAAAUCGCAUGAUUUGAUCGGGAAAUGAGCAAUCAGGUAUAGGAUGGGCCCGCGUCCGAUUAGCCAGUUGGCAGGGUAAAAGCCUACCAAAGCGACGAUCGGUAGCCGGACUGAGAGGUCGGACGGCCACAUUGGGACUGAGACACGGCCCAAACUCCUACGGGAGGCAGCAGUGGGGGAUAUUGCACAAUGGAGGAAACUCUGAUGCAGCGACGCCGCGUGAGUGAAGAAGUAUUUCGGUAUGUAAAGCUCUAUCAGCAGGGAAGAUGAUGACGGUACCUGACUAAGAAGCCCCGGCUAACUACGUG
rnacentral:rRNA from 1 species